rnacentral:rRNA from 1 species
GUGGACGCCAGUCUGCAUGGAGCCGACCUUGAAAUACCACCCUUUAAUGUUUGAUGUUCUAACGUGGACCCGUGAUCCGGGUUGCGGACAGUGUCUGGUGGGUAGUUUGACUGGGGCGGUCUCCUCCUAAAGAGUAACGGAGGAGCACGAAGGUUGGCUAAUCCUGGUCGGACAUCAGGAGGUUAGUGCAAUGGCAUAAGCCAGCUUGACUGCGAGCGUGACGGCGCGAGCAGGUGCGAAAGCAGGUCAUAGUGAUCCGGUGGUUCUGAAUGGAAGGGCCAUCGCUCAACGGAUAAAAGGUACUCCGGGGAUAACAGGCUGAUACCGCCCAAGAGUUCAUAUCGACGGCGGUGUUUGGCACCUCGAUGUCGGCUCAUCACAUCCUGGGGCUGAAGUAGGUCCCAAGGGUAUGGCUGUUCGCCAUUUAAAGUGGUACGCGAGCUGGGUUUAGAACGUCGUGAGACAGUUCGGUCCCUAUCUGCCGUGGGCGCUGGAGAACUGAGGGGGGCUGCUCCUAGUACGAGAGGACCGGAGUGGACGCAUCACUGGUGUUCGGGUUGUCAUGCCAAUGGCACUGCCCGGUAGCUAAAUGCGGAAGAGA